rnacentral:rRNA from 1 species
AGAACGAACGCUGGCGGCGUGGAUAAGACAUGCAAGUCGAGCGCUGAUUAAAGGGUAGCAAUAUCUUUUAAUUGGAGCGGCGCAAGGGUGCGUAACACGUGGGUAAUUUGCCAUGAAGUUGGGGAUAACUUGCUGAAAGGCGAGCUAAUACCGAAUGUGGCCCGACGGAGACAUCUCUGUUUGGCUAAAGCUGGGGACCGCAAGGCCUGACGCUUCAUGAUAAACCCGCGGCCUAUCAGCUAGUUGGUGAGGUAACGGCCCACCAAGGCUAAGACGGUAGCUGGUCUGAGAGGACGACCAGCCACACUGGAACUGAGAGACGGUCCAGACACCUACGGGUGGCAGCAGUCGAGAAUUUUUCAC